rnacentral:rRNA from 1 species
UACGUAGGGUCCGAGCGUUGUCCGGAAUUACUGGGCGUAAAGGGCUCGUAGGUGGCCAACUAAGUCGGACGUGAAAUCCCUCGGCUUAACCGGGGAACUGCGUCCGAUACUGGAUGGCUUGAGUUUGGGAGAGGGAUGCGGAAUUCCAGGUGUAGCGGUGAAAUGCGUAGAUAUCUGGAGGAACACCGGUGGCGAAGGCGGCAUCCUGGACCAACACUGACACUGAGGAGCGAAAGCCAGGGGAGCAAACGGG